UCACAGUUUGCACUGGCAGUCUGGUUAGAGUUCCCACCAUUACGUGCUGGCAACUAACCACAGGGGUUGCGCUCGUUAUAGGACUUAACCUGACACCUCACGGCACGAGCUGACGACAACCAUGCAGCACCUUGUAAUCUGCCCGAAGGAGGGGGUGUUUCCACCCCUGUCAGACUACAUUUAAGCCCUGGUAAGGUUCCUCGCGUAUCAUCGAAUUAAACCACAUGCUCCACCGCUUGUGCGGGCCCCCGUCAAUUCCUUUGAGUUUCAUUCUUGCGAACGUACUCCCCAGGUGGGUUACUUAUCACUUUCGCUUAACCACUCAGUCUUGCGACCGAACAGCUAGUAACCAUCGUUUACGGCGUGGACUAC
rnacentral:misc_RNA from 1 species